rnacentral:rRNA from 1 species
UACGUAGGAUGCAAGCGUUAUCCAGAAUCACUGGGCGUAAAGCGCGCGCAGGCGGUUUGUUACGUUGGUUGUGAAAGCUCCCGGCUCAACUGGGAAGGGUCGACCAAAACGGGCAGACUGGAGGGCAGCAGAGGUGAGUGGAAUUCCGGGUGUAGUGGUGAAAUGCGUAGAUAUCCGGAGGAACACCAAAGGCGAAGGCAGCUCACUGGGCUGUGCCUGACGCUGAGGCGCGAAGGCUAGGGGAGCGAACAGG